rnacentral:pre_miRNA from 1 species
UGUAAAGUCACUGUGGAAUCUUAUUAAAAUGCAGAUUCUGAUUUAGCAGUUCUGGGGUGAGGCCUGAGAUUCUGCAUUUCUUGUAAGGUUCCAGGUGAUGCUUUU